rnacentral:rRNA from 1 species
AGCGAACGCUGGCGGCAGGCCUAACACAUGCAAGUCGAACGAACCUUUCGGGGUUAGUGGCGGACGGGUGAGUAACACGUGGGAACGUGCCUUUAGGUUCGGAAUAACUCAGGGAAACUUGUGCUAAUACCGAAUGUGCCCUUCGGGGGAAAGAUUAAUCGCCUUUAGAGCGGCCCGCGUCUGAUUAGCUAGUUGGUUGAGGUAAUGGCUCACCAAGGCGACGAUCAGUAGCUGGUCUGAGAGGAUGAUCAGCCACAUUGGGACUGAGACACGGCCCAAACUCCUACGGGAGGCAGCAGUGGGGAAUCUUGCGCAAUGGGCGAAAGCCUGACGCAGCCAUGCCGCGUGAAUGAUGAAGGUCUUAGGAUUGUAAAAUUCUUUCAACGGGGACGAUAAUGACGGUAACCGGAGAAGAAGCCCCGGCUAACUUCGUG